rnacentral:rRNA from 1 species
CAGAGAUUUUCUCUCCUGGCUUUGGAUGAACGCUAGCGGCAGGCCUAAUACAUGCAAGUCGAACGGUAGACUACUUUCGGGUAGUUGAGAGUGGCGCACGGGUGCGUAACGCGUAUGCAACCUACCUUGUACAGGGGGAUAGCCCGGAGAAAUUCGGAUUAAUACCCCAUAGUAUUAUCAGAUGGCAUCUGAAGAUAAUUAAAGAUUUAUCGGUACAAGAUGGGCAUGCGUGACAUUAGUUAGUUGGUAAGGUAAAGGCUUACCAAGACGAUGAUGUCUAGGGGUUCUGAGAGGAUGAUCCCCCACACUGGUACUGAGAUACGGACCAGACUCCUACGGGAGGCAGCAGUAGGGAAUAUUGGUCAAUGGGCGAGAGCCUGAACCAGCCAUGCCGCGUGCAGGAAGACGGCCUUCUGGGUUGUAAACUGCUUUUCUACGGGAAGAAAAUGCCCUUGCGAGGGAAAUUGCCGGUACCGUAGGAAUAAGCACCGGCUAACUCCGUGCAAAGACCCGCAGGGUAAAAUCUCUG